rnacentral:rRNA from 1 species
UACGUAGGGUGCAAGCGUUGUCCGGAAUUAUUGGGCGUAAAGAGCUCGUAGGCGGUGUGUCGCGUCUGCUGUGAAAACUCAGGGCUCAACUCUGAGCUUGCAGUGGGUACGGGCACACUAGAGUGCUGUAGGGGAGACUGGAAUUCCUGGUGUAGCGGUGAAAUGCGCAGAUAUCAGGAGGAACACCGGUGGCGAAGCCGGGUCUCUGGGCAGUUACCGACGCUGAGGAGCGAAAGCAUGGGGAGCAAACAGG